CUGAGAGCUCUCUGACACACUGUCUCUCUCUGAGAGAGACAGUGUGUCAGAGAGCUCUCAGAU
rnacentral:miRNA from 1 species